rnacentral:rRNA from 1 species
AUGAACGCUGGCGGCGUGCCUAAUACAUGCAAGUCGAGCGAACGGACGAGAAGCUUGCUUCUCUGAUGUUAGCGGCGGACGGGUGAGUAGCACGUGGAUAACCUACCUAUAAGACUGGGAUAACUUCGGGAAACCGGAGCUAAUACCGGAUAAUAUUUUGAACCGCAUGGUUCAAAAGUGAAAGACGGUCUUGCUGUCACUUAUAGAUGGAUCCGCGCUGCAUUAGCUAGUUGGUAAGGUAACGGCUUACCAAGGCAACGAUGCAUAGCCGACCUGAGAGGGUGAUCGGCCACACUGGAACUGAGACACGGUCCAGACUCCUACGGGAGGCAGCAGUAGGGAAUCUUCCGCAAAGGGCGAAAGCCUGACGGAGCAACGCCGCGUGAGUGAUGAAGGUCUUCGGAUCGUAAAACUCUGUUAUUAGGGAAGAACAUAUGUGUAAGUAACUGUGCACAUCUUGACGGUACCUAAUCAGAAAGCCACGGCUAACUACGUG